CUGCAGCUCCCUGCAGCCUGCUCCAAAGCUAGCAUCCAUAUUCAGACUCCAUACUAGCAAGACUGAAUCAACAAUGACCACACCUCUGUGAAUUGCAAAAUAUCACUGUUGUUCUCCAAAGAGAAUUAAGUGCUGAAGCAGAUCAUUCUGUGUUGUGUGUCAUCUAGUGUUGUUAGUGGACACAAAAUAGAAGCAUAGAUUCAAUCACAGCAGCUGAGGUUUUUCAUCCAAAGAAGGCAGAAGCCUUUAUUUCGGGGUUUUCAACCCUUCUAUAAGGUGCGCCAAUACAGGUUUAACAUGAUUGGUAAAGGGAACAACACCUUUCUCAUCCCAUUGGUGGGACGAGAAGCACACUCAGAAUAUCUGUAUACCACAGAUAUUGUUUUUGUUUUGGGAACCAAAAAACCUAUCUACAAAACAGUCCUUGAGAGAGAAAAUGUUCCCAAAAGAAACUUUCCCCUGGGAAACAGAUCAGCCACUGACAGGCUGAAAACUCUCAGGCUCAGAAAAUCAUGUCCACAAUCUAGUUUCCUUUUUUUAAUUAAAAAAACCUGAACAAAACAAAAGUGAAAAAAGAGUAACUCCGGCAUAAAGCACAUGUACAGAUUGUUUUGGGACUCUCACAUUUUUUUGAAAUUGAAAGGAUGAAAAGCUUUGGAAACCACAGUUUGUGAUUCAGUCAUUCAGGCAGCUGUUCCAGAGGGCUAACAUAUUUUGCUGUGUACCAGAGCAGUUCCAGAGAUGAAGAGCCAUUCAGAAAAGCUAAAAAAUUCAGAAACCUUACUGUUAGAUGCAGUUAAAACAACUUCUUUUACUAGGAAUUAGUGAAAAUAAAGAAACAGAACAUUUAAGUGCAUAGAUUCAUCAUAGCGUGUUUAAUCUACAAGAUAAAUAGACUCAUUUCCUUUCAGUAUUUUCCAAACUUGUGCUUGAGAAGAGUCAGACACACCUUAUGAAACACACUUUCUAUAUAAGUAGUACAUAAUAUACCUUAUAUGGCUCUGGUUUAGAAUCAUUACCAUUCUGUGAUGGUUGCAAUGGAGUCUCAGUAUUUCAUCUUAGCUGCACACUUGUGCACAUAGCACAAUGGAGGGUUGGGAGCACAGUGGCGUAUAAACAUGUUAUUCAUAAUAAAUGUAUUUUUUAUAAAGCCAAUACUGAGAAAACAAGGUUAUUUAGCUAUUCAGUUCUUUCUUAGUCCCUAAGAAUGCCUGUUGCAUAGCCCUUCACAGGGAUUUUGCUCUCUUUGUGCAAGAUCUUAAGAGACAGGCUUUGCCAUGGCCUUAAAGGCUUGGGAUUUAUACCAGUUUGAAGGUUUAUACCAAACCUUUGUGCUGUUACACUACCACUACAUGCCACUGCCAAGAGAGAGCAACACAGAAAGACCACAGCAAGCUGAAUGAGAUUUGGGAGGAGCAGAGCCCAGCACACCCAAGGCAGGAGCCACCACUUGGAUACAUGACAAUACCAACCAGUCAUUUUUGAUUUUUUUGAUAUUUUUGAUAUUUUGAUUGUCAUGCCAUGAAGUACCUAAUGCUACUACUUGUGAAGAGGUUUUCUUCACAAAGCAGGAGUCUUAAAAUCUUUACUCCUGGAUGUUGUUAUGCAAGGAACGGUAGCACCUGAAAUGUUUAUGCAGCAGGAAAAUUAGGUCAUGUGCAGCCAGAUGUCCUAUGCUUACAAUCACAAAUCCAAUCAGGAGCAAACACAUUGUUAUUUUCCCUGUAAUCCAAUUAAAAAAUGCUAACAAGUACUUUGAUAAUAUUUUGACUUGAUUUUAAAACCUAUUGCUUACAUUUUAGCAUGGAAUGUUACAAAGGUGUAACUAUGUACAACAGUGUGGACCAAAAGUAAGAAAUCAAUGUACAUAUCAAGACAACAAAAUUCAUCUGGCCUGGCUUAGUUAAGUCUACUGCUUCUCUUAGCACAUUUAUUUAG